rnacentral:rRNA from 1 species
UAAUACGUAGGAUCCAAGCGUUAUCCGGAAUUACUGGGCGUAAAGCGUGAGCAGGUGGUUUAUUAGGUCAGAUGCGAAAUCUUACGGCUCAACCGUAUAGACUGUGUCUGAAACCAGUAGACUAGAGGUCGGUAGAGGCAAGCGGAAUUUGUAGUGUAGCAGUGAAAUGCGUAGAUAUUACAAGGAACACCAAUGGCGAAGGCAGCUUGCUGGGCCGCACCUGACACUCAGUCACGAAAGCGUGGGGAGCGAACAGGAUUAGAUACCCUGGUAGUCCACGCCGUAAACGAUGGAUGCUAUUGGUAUGGGGUCUCGACCCUUUGUGCCAAGAAGCUAACGCGAUAAGCAUCCCGCCUGGGGAGUACGAACGCAAGUUUA